AAUCGAGGCCCCGUAAUUGGAAUGAGUACACUUUAAAUCCUUUAACGAGGAUCAAUUGGAGGGCAAGUCUGGUGCCAGCAGCCGCGGUAAUUCCAGCUCCAAUAGCGUAUAUUAAAGUUGUUGCAGUUAAAAAGCUCGUAGUUGGAUCUCAGGAUUUGGAUGGAUGGUUCGCUUUCGGGCGCUACUAUCUGUCUGACCUACUCUAGUCGUGGAUGCCUUGGGUGCUCUUAAUUGAGUGCUUUUGGUGCCCGACGCAAUUACUUUGAAAAAAUUAGAGUGCUCAAAGCAGGCGUAUUGCCUGAAUAGUGUUGCAUGGAAUAAUGAAAUAGGAGUUUACUUCUAUUUUGUUGGUUUUCGGAGGUGAACUAAUGAUUAACAGGGACAGACGGGGGCAUUUGUAUGGAGGGGUUAGAGGUGAAAUUCUUGGAUCCUCUCCAGACAAACUACUGCGAAAGCAUUUGCCAGGAAUGUUUUCACUAAUCAAGAACGAAAGUCAGAGGUUCGAAGACGAUCAGAUACCGUCCUAGUUCUGACCAUAAAUGAUGCCAUCUAACAAUCCACGAAGUUUGCUUGUACGAACUCGUGGGCGGUCCCCGGGAAACCAAAGAUUUUGGGUUCCGGGGGAAGUAUGGUUGCAAAGCUGAAACUUAAAGGAAUUGACGGAAGGGCACCACCAGGAGUGGAGCCUGCGGCUUAAUUUGACUCAACACGGGAAACCUCACCCGGCCCGGACACUUUUAGGAUUGACAGAUUGAAGGCUCUUUCUUGAUCAAGUGGUUGGUGGUGCAUGGCCGUUCUUAGUUGGUGGAGCGAUUUGUCUGGUUAAUUCCGAUAACGAACGAGACUCUACUCUGCUAAAUAGAACGUUGAUAUAUAAAAGUCAGUGCUGACUUCUUAGAGAGACUAACGGCGUUUAGCCGUGUGAGAAAGAGCAAUAACAGGUCUGUGAUGCCCUUAGAUGUCCGGGGCCGCACGCGCGCUACACUGACUGCAGCAACUAGUAUGCUCCUGGUUUGAAAAAACUGGGUAACCUGGUUGAAUUGCAGGCGUGACAGGGAUCAGAGUUUGCAAUUAUCCUCUGUGAACGAGGAAUUCCCAGUAAGCGCAAGUCAUUAGCUUGUGCUGAUUACGUCCCUGCCCUUUGUACACACCGCCCGUCGCUACUACCGAUUGAAUGGUUUAGUGAGGUCUUCGGAUUGGUGCUGAUGGAGUGGUUCUCUGCUCUGUUAGUGCCGAGAAGAUGAUCAAACUUGAUCAUUUAGAGGAAGUAAAAGUCGUAACAAGGU
rnacentral:rRNA from 1 species